rnacentral:rRNA from 1 species
AACGAACGCUGGCGGCAGGCUUAACACAUGCAAGUCGAGCGCCCCGAAAGGGGAGCGGCUGACGGGUGAGUAACGCGUGGGAAUGUGCCCUUUGGUCUGGAAUAACUCAGGGAAACUUGAGCUAAUACCGGAUAAGCCCUUCGGGGGAAAGGUUUAUUGCCAUUGGAGCAGCCCGCGUCAGAUUAGCUAGUUGGUGAGGUAAAAGCCCACCAAGGCGAUGAUCUGUAGGUGGUCUGAGAGGACGAACAGCCACACUGGGAAUGAGACACGGCCCAGACUCCUACGGGAGGCAGCAGUGGGGAAUAUUGGACAAUGGGGGCAACCCUGAUCCAGCCAUGCCGCGUGAGUGAUGAAGGCCUUAGGGUUGUAAAGCUCUUUUACUCGGGAAGAUAAUGACUGUACCGAGAGAAUAAGCCCCGGCUAACUUCGUGCCAGCCGCCGCCGUAA